GAUGAACGCUGGCGGCGUGCCUAAUACAUGCAAGUCGAGCGAACGGACGAGAAGCUUGCUUCUCUGAUGUUAGCGGCGGACGGGUGAGUAACACGUGGAUAACCUACCUAUAAGACUGGGAUAACUUCGGGAAACCGUAGCUAAUACCGGAUAAUAUUUUGAACCGCAUGGUUCAAAAGUGAAAGACGGUCUUGCUGUCACUUAUAGAUGGAUCCGCGCUGCAUUAGCUAGUUGGUAAGGUAACGGCUUACCAAGGCAACGAUGCAUAGCCGACCUGAGAGGGUGAUCGGCCACACUGGAACUGAGACACGGUCCAGACUCCUACGGGAGGCAGCAGUAGGGAAUCUUCCGAAAUGGGCGAAAGCCUGACGGAGCAACGCCGCGUGAGUGAUGAAGGUCUUCGGAUCGUAAAACUCUGAUAUUAGGGAAGAACAUAUGUGUAAGUAACUGUGCACAUCUUGACGGUACCUAAUCAGAAAGCCACGGCUAACUACGUG
rnacentral:rRNA from 1 species